CGCGCGCGAUUAUAAUGUAUUAUUCGCGAAUGUUUUACGUGAGUGUCCUGCGCGAGAGGAUGUCAACCCAAUUCUGAGAGGAAGAGGAGGUCUGGGAGAGAUAUCGGGCACCGGCGGAGCAACCUUGCAAAUCAUCGUAGCAACUCCGCUGUUGCGCAUCAGAUUGACGGAGAAACGCGGUGGACGAACAAAUUAAAAAAAAAACAAAAAUUUAAUUUAUAGCAUAUAAGAAAACAAAAAUAAAAAAGCAUGACAAAAGAUUGUUAACGAUGCAAAUACCGCGUAUAUUCAACAGUAUAACAUUAAUCUUACAAAAUAAUAACUCAAACAUUUAAAAACAAAAACAUAUUCUACCAACAGAAAUGUAAAUUACACGCAUAAUUGUAAAAAUCGAAUAAUAAUAAUUCGGAUAGACGGUUGUCAUUGAAAUGUUGGUCGAAUAGGAUCACAGAAUUGGUCGGCUCGUAUGCGAAAGAAAAAAGAGAAAAGAAAAUACUUAUAUUAUUAAUGCGACACGA